UACGUAGGGCGCAAGCGUUGUCCGGAUUUAUUGGGCGUAAAGAGCUCGUAGGCGGCCUGUCGCGUCCGCUGUGAAAUCCCGGGGCUUAACCCCGGUUCUGCUUCCGGUACGGGCAUGCUGGAGUGUGGCAGGGGAAACUGGAAUUCCUGGUGUAGCGGUGGAAUGCGUAGAUAUCAGGAGGAACACCGGUGGCGAAGGCGGGUCUCUGGGCCAUUACUGACGCUGAGGAGCGAAAGCGUGGGGAGCGAACAGG
rnacentral:rRNA from 1 species